rnacentral:lncRNA from 1 species
UUUUCAAGUUUGCAUUGCCUAUAAGUGUGAUCUGUAACUUGUUUGUGAUGAGUGUAAUAAUGUCAUUGCUAUGUCACAUGUUGGUGUUGAGUAUAAGAGUGUCACUGCUACGUCACAUGCUGGUGUUGAGUAUAAGAAUGUCAUUGCUAUGUCACAUGUUGGUGUUGACUAUAAGAGUGUUGUUGCUAUGUCACAUGUUGGUGUUGAGGUAAACAGUGUCAUUGCUAUGUCACAUGUUGGUGUUGACUAUAAGAGUGGCAUUGCUAUGUCACAUGUUGGUGUUGACUAUAAGAUGAUAAGAGUGUCAUUGCUAUGUCACAUGUUGGUGUUGAGGUAAAGAGUGUCAUUGCUAUGUCACAUGUUGGUGUUGAGCAUAUGAGUGUCAUUUCUAUGUCACAUGUUGGUGUUGACUAUAAGAGUGUUAUUGAUAUGUCACAUGUUGGUGUUGACUAUAAGAGUGUCAUUGCUAUGUCACAUGUUGGUGUUGAGCAUAUGAGUGUCAUUGCUAUGUCAUGUUCAGUACAAGAGUGGUAAAUGUAUGUUGUAUAAUCAGGUGUUACAUGUCAUGUUCAGUACAGGAGUGGUAAAUGAAUGUUGUAUGAUCAGGUCACAUGUCAUGUUCAGUACAAGAGUGGUAAAUGAAUGUUGUAUAAUCAGUUGUCACAUGUCAUGUUCAGAACAGGAGUGGUAAAUUAAUGUUGUAUGAUCAGGUGUCACAUGUCAUGCUCAGUACAAGAGUGGUAAAUGAAUGUUGUAUGAUCAGGUGUCACAUGU